ACAGAGGUGGCAAGCGUUGUUCGGAUUUACUGGGCGUAAAGGGGGUCUAGGUGGUUCGUUAUGUCUUUCGUGAAAUCCCGGAGCUUAACUCCGGAACUGCGGGAGAAACUGGCGAACUUGAGCGCGUGAUACGUAAGCGGAAUACUGGGUGUAGCGGUGAAAUGCGUAGAUAUCCAGUAGAACACCUGCGGCGAAAGCGGCUUACGAGCGCGUUGCUGACACUGAAGCCCGAAAGCGUGGGGAUCAAACAG
rnacentral:rRNA from 1 species